rnacentral:rRNA from 1 species
GAUGAACGCUGGCGGCGUGCUUAACACAUGCAAGUCGAACGGAAAGGCCCAAGCUUGCUUGGGUACUCGAGUGGCGAACGGGUGAGUAACACGUGGGUGAUCUGCCCUGCACUUCGGGAUAAGCCUGGGAAACUGGGUCUAAUACCGGAUAGGACGAUGGUUUGGAUGCCAUUGUGGAAAGUUUUUUCGGUGUGGGAUGAGCUCGCGGCCUAUCAGCUUGUUGGUGGGGUAAUGGCCUACCAAGGCGACGACGGGUAGCCGGCCUGAGAGGGUGUACGGCCACAUCGGGACGGAGAUACGGCCCAGACUCCUACGGGAGGCAGCAGGGGGGAAUAUUGCACAAUGGGCGCAAGCCUGAUGCAGCGACGCCGCGUGGGGGAUGACGGCCUUCGGGUUGUAAACUCCUUUCGCUAGGGACGAAGCGUUUUUGUGACGGUACCUGGAGAAGAAGCACCGGCUAACUACGUG